GUGGGGAAUCUUAGACAAUGGGGGAAACCCUGAUCUAGCCAUGCCGCGUGAUCGAUGAAGGCCUUAGGGUUGUAAAGAUCUUUCGGCUGGGAAGAUAAUGACGGUACCAGCAGAAGAAGCCCCGGCUAACUCCGUGCCAGCAGCCGCGGUAAUACGGAGGGGGCUAGCGUUGUUCGGAAUUACUGGGCGUAAAGCGCACGUAGGCGGAUUGGAAAGUUGGGGGUGAAAUCCCGGGGCUCAACCCCGGAACUGCCUUCAAAACUCCCAGUCUUGAGGUCGAGAGAGGUGAGUGGAAUUCCGAGUGUAGAGGUGAAAUUCGUAGAUAUUCGGAGGAACACCAGUGGCGAAGGCGGCUCACUGGCUCGAUACUGACGCUGAGGUGCGAAAGCGUGGGGAGCAAACAGGAUUAGAUACCCUAGUAGUCC
rnacentral:rRNA from 1 species